rnacentral:misc_RNA from 1 species
GAUGAAGAACGCAGCGAAAUGCGAUACGUAAUGUGAAUUGCAAAUUCAGUGAAUCAUCGAGUCUUUGAACGCACAUUGCGCCCCCUGGUAUUCCGGGGGGCAUGCCUGUCCGAGCGUCAUUGCUGCCCUCAAGCACGGCUUGUGUGUUGGGCCCCGUCCUCCGAUCCCGGGGGACGGGCCCGAAAGGCAGCGGCGGCACCGCGUCCGGUCCUCGAGCGUAUGUGGGCUUUGUCACCCGCUCCGUAGGCCCGGCCGGCGCUUGCCGAUCAACCCAAAUUUUUAUCCAGGUUGACCUCGGAUCAGGUAGGGAUACCCGCUGAACUUAAGCAUAUCAAUAAGCGGAGGA